rnacentral:rRNA from 1 species
AUGCCCUCCGUCGUCAUCCCUUAUAACGCGUUACCUGCUUACAGACUGGGUCGGUACGGCGCACGUCCUACNGCCGGGAUACCCAACAUUUGACGAAAAUAUGCCCUUCUUNGGAGGGAUGCACAUCCCCCGACUGCCAUGGCAUUCUUAUUCCUAGCCGAUUGAGGCANGGUCGUCGGCGCCAUUAUGCCUCCUAGGUUCGCAACAGGCCUAAAUAACCCAAAUUUCCCACGCAUCCGCCUGAUAAUUCAGUCUCCACUUUCAAACGUCGAAUUGACAUUUUAACGGAAACUUUGACCAUCAGAACUCAUAUCAACUCCAUCCGCCUUACACAGUACAUCGCCANUUUACGAAUCUAUACUAUGUCNUGNGGCUAACGCUUCCGUCGAAUGAUUUGACAUUGACUGCGACUCCGUGNUUUCGCACCCCNCGCNUGUCCNAAUCUAGGGGACCAUCAGGUGCGGGAUUUGCAACUUAUGAGCAANAAUCGCNAUAUGACAAUCGCUGANUCGCUUNCGUAAUUCAUAAGGUGGACCCCUCA